GACGAACGCUGGCGGCGUGCCUAAUACAUGCAAGUUGAGCGCUGAAGGUUGGUACUUGUACCAACUGGAUGAGCAGCGAACGGGUGAGUAACGCGUGGGGAAUCUGCCUUUGAGCGGGGGACAACAUUUGGAGACGAAUGCUAAUACCGCAUAAAAACUUUAAACACAAGUUUUAAGUUUGAAAGAUGCAAUUGCAUCACUCAAAGAUGAUCCCGCGUUGUAUUAGCUAGUUGGUGAGGUAAAGGCUCACCAAGGCGAUGAUACAUAGCCGACCUGAGAGGGUGAUCGGCCACAUUGGGACUGAGACACGGCCCAAACUCCUACGGGAGGCAGCAGUAGGGAAUCUUCGGCAAUGGACGAAAGUCUGACCGAGCAACGCCGCGGGAGUGAAGAAGGUUUUCGGAUCGUAAAACUCUGUUGGUAGAGAAGAACGUUGGUGAGAGUGGAAAGCUCAUCAAGUGACGGUAACUACCCAGAAAGGGACGGCUAACUACGUG
rnacentral:rRNA from 1 species